UUUUUAAGCAGCGCAUCGUCUUCUUAUCGGGUUGGCAAAAGGCUACUCAUCGUCUUCUUCAUCGGGCAAAGAAGCGAGCGAGAGAGAGAGAGAGAUGAGCGCAGAACUAAUCCAAGACCUCCUCGCCUCAGUUCUCGAUGAUGCAGCUAUUUGAUACCUCUUGAGGAUGAUUUUCUUUUGGAUUUGGCGGAGUAUUUGUUGACUGGAAGGCGAAUCUGCCACGCCAAGAAGGUAGGCGCAGAACUAAUCCAAGACCUCCUCGCCUCAGUUCUCGAUGAUGCAACUAUCUGAUACCUUUUGAGGAGGAUUUGCUUUUGGAUUUGGCAGAGUAUUUGUUGACUGGGAGGGGAAUCUGCCGCGCCAAGAAGGGUUUCUAUCGGAUCAACAGCCAAGCUGCGAGAUGGAGAAGAAGAUGGUUUCUAUUGGUCCCACAGACAAGUGGCGAGAUGGAGAUUAAGAUGUGAUUAUCACAAGUGGGCAGAUUGUCAUUCAUUCUUUUGAAAUUUCAGGAUCAGUUGCUAAGCAGCUCAUUCAUCUCUUCUUAGUUUCAUAAUUUAUUGGCUGAAUUCUGAACUUUGUGUACUUGAAGAAGAUUUUUGCUUGCGGUUUAGAAAGCUGAUCUUCUCCCAACAAAAUGGAAAGACAACAGGAUUGGGCUCCUUCUGCAUUUAGCAUAUGGCAUGUUCAUUACGUUGUUGGUUCUUUUUAUGCUCAUAAUUCAAUGGAUUGUCCUCCUUCGACAGAAAGUUUUGAUUUACACCAGAUUCUUUUGUGCAAUCCUGAUGACAUUUACUCAAAGGAAAUAGCAGACAAGGAGCCACAAUAUCAACAAUUUGAAUUCCUCUGGAUGGGAUAUUUUGAGAACUUUAUCAGGUGCAGCUGCAUAUUGUAUGUCUACUCCACGAUUUGCAAAAAUUUGGUGGGAUAAAGGAUGUGACUUGAGAAGAUCAAUUUUGAUAUGGCGACCGAUAGGAUGCCCAGCUUUUGGCACACUUGGUGAUUGUGUGAUACAAGGGUUAGACAUUGGCUCUUCUUAUGUUUUAUAAAUGAUACAAAAUUUGUGAUAUAAUAAUUCACAAUUUACUUGUUUCUGUUUAGAACCACCAGCUUUAGAUUGAUAACAUAAUUUGUGUUUAUCAUAACUCACGAGUUACUCAUUUGUCUCAAUGUGACAAUCCAUCAAUUUCUGCAAGUCCUGUAUAAUUCGCUAAAGUUGCACAUAUUUCUGGAAAAGGAUUUGAUCAGGCUUUUUUUCUGGUAUCCAAUUCCUCCUGGCUAUGUUUCAUUUGAUUGAGUGGUGACAACAACUGAUUAUCCACCAAAAAGGGAUUCAUAACUCAUGAGUUACUCAUUUGUCUCAAUGUGACAAUCCAUCAAUUUCUGCAAGUCCUAAAUAAUUCGCUAAAGUUGCACAUAUUUCUGGAAAAGGAUUUGAUCAGGCUUUUUUUCUGGUAUCCAAUUCCUCCUGGCUAAGUUUCAUUUGAUUGAGUGGUGACAACAACUGAUUAUCCACCAAAAAAGGAUUUUGUCUGCUGUCCUAGAUCGGAUCUGUUAACCAAACAAAUGUUGCUAGUGAACCCAUUUCUAGGUCAUCUAGUUCAAAGGGCACAAAUUGUUAGAGUAUCUGGAAAGUUGAGAAUCAGGUAUCCCCCAAUUUUUUUGUUAUUCUCUUCUACUUCACGUCCUGAUGUCUUCUUAUUCUUGACUUGUACUUUUCUUGCAUGUUUUGAUCACAUUAUACCAAUAACCCGAUUGGUGUAUAAAUUUAGUGACUAUGCCAAAGCUAAAGCACAUGAAAAUGUUGCUGCUGAGUUGAAGUUGGAACUUCUCUCACUGAGUGUUUUGGACAAUUUUUGUGGAACAAUGAGUAGCCUUGUCUUGCUUACAUUGGUCUUAGAAAGAAGACACUUCAGUCUUCUUAUUUACUGUAUUAAUGCUUACUUUUGAUUUGGUUCAAAUGACGCCACUUCUUGACACAAUAGUGACAAUUAUUACACGUGGGAAUUUUCAGGCAAUGAAUGUUGUUCUAAUAUGUUCAAUUGCUUCAUCCACAUUCAACAGACAACUAGAGGCAUGAGAGCCUCUAAUUGAACCAUUUGAUGCCAUAUUCCAGUAAUUAUUUGUAAUUUAUAUAUUUUGUAAGAUUUCAAUAAGGGUUUGAAAAAAAUGGGAGGGGGUUAUGUCAUUUACAGUUCCAUAUAUUCCUAUACUUCCUUAAAUCUAGUAUAUGUUGGACUUUACUAGUAUUUUCAUUAUUAGUUUUUUUACCCUUUAGAAUGGAAACAUAUUAUAAGCAAAAAUUCACAAUCCACAAUCAGCAUGCAAAUUCAUUUUUCUUCAACGAGUGCCCUAAAUGUUAACAUUAGUGCUGCAAAUCUAGAAACUCUCAUUGAAACUAUUAUUUUCUGGUAUGCAAAAUGAUGUGGAGAACAAAUUGUUGAGAAAAAGCAAGGUAAUGUAUGAUGUCAAUUCACAUGUUACCCCAUUGAGAUUUGUUGUAUCUACAGUUGAACUAAUUAUAUGUUUUUGUUCUUUCAGGAAACUGGUGAAAAUUAUAGUAAUUCAGAUAAUUUAAUAUCCUCUGUAUAGUUGAUGAUGUUCAGGAACAAGCUCGGAUGUGAUAUGCAUUUGAGAGAAUUUGAACAAAAUUCAGAGACAACCAAGUUUUUACAGCACAAUGGGCAUGUUUCACUAUUCUUUCCUACUCCAAGAUUUUUGGAUAAGCUAAAUGUCGUGGCCAAUUCUAGGGAAUCAAGCUACUAUGUUGCUAUAUAGAUUCUUGAGUCGGAGGUCAUACAACUGUAUUUAUUCUUAUAAUCAUACUCUAAAUCAAUAGUUUUGGAUAUAAUUCUAUUUCAUACAUUUGCAAAGGCUAACUAUAGUGGAUGAUGGUAAUAACCAUGACUACUUUUGUCCUUUAUGGUUGCUUAUUGAUGGUAAGGUAUUUGAUCAAUACAAACUUUUCCCACAAGUGCAAGGACAAGUUGCAUGAGUCCAUUGCUAUCAAAGAACACUAAGAGCCACGCUAGGCGGAACAAACUCUUCAUAUUUGAAGUUCCUAAGAAGAUCUAGUUAAAGUUGGAGAAGAGAGAAGAACUACAAAUUGGCUUAGGUCUACUGUAUGUGUAAGUGAACUAUAAUGUGAACCCAAUACUCCAAUUCAGCAUCAAAACCAGCACCCAAGACCAGGAAUUCAAAUCUGUUCUGCAUUUCACAAGUUCAGUUUCAGAAAUUG